rnacentral:rRNA from 1 species
CAUGACGCUGGCGGAUGACUAACGUGAAGUCGAACGGUAACAGGUCUUCGGAUUCAUGGCGAGUGGCGAACGGUGAGUAAUACAUCAGAGAACAGUGCCCAGAUCGUGGGGGAUAACGGAGCGAAAGCUUUGCUAAUACCGCAUACGAUCUACGGAUGAAAGCAGGGGACCGCAAGGCCUUGCGCGGACGGAGCGGCCGAUGGCAGAUUAGGUAGUUGGUGGGAUAAAAGCUUACCAAGCCGACGAUCUGUAGCUGGUCUGAGAGGACGACCAGCCACACUGGGACUGAGACACGGACCAGACUCCUACGGGAGUGCAGCAGUGGGGAAUUUUGGACAAUGGGCGAAAGCCUGAUCCAGCCAUGCCGCGUGCAGGAUGAAGGCCUUCCGGGUUGUAAACUGCUUUUGUACCGGAAACGAAAAGACUCCUUCUAAUACAGGGGGUCCAUGACGGUACCGUAAGAAUAAGCCCGGCUAACUACGUGGCAAGCAGACGAGGUAAUACGUAGGGUGAAACGUAAAUCGGACUACUGGGCGUAAAGCGUGCCAGGGAGGUAUAUAAGAAAGAUGUGAAAUACCACGGGAUCAAACUGGAAACUGAAUUUGUGAUGUAUAGAUAGAGAACGGAAGAGGGGGAUGU